GCCGUCUACGUCGAUCUGAAGCCCGCCGCGGAGGACGGGGACGAGGUGGGGGAGGAGAUGCAGGUCGUAAGGAGAUGGGAGGCGCUGCAGUCGGUCCUGGUCGCGUGGACGCCGGGGUGGAUGCAGUGCGCCGGCGACGGCUCCAUUGUCCUCGACUCAUCAGAUCCAACCUCUUGCCCGCGCCGGCUGCUGACGGAGUAGUCGCUGAAGGGAGGCCCGUUCUUGCCGACCACUGGCGUUGCGCCGUGCUACCCAGCCUCUGCAACUGCGCCGUGAUGGGUACUUGAGAAGGUUGUCCUUCCACUCGAUGUUGCACCUCCAGCAAAGAGGGGAAUAUGCAUUGUGUUGCCAUCUCCUAAUGUUUGGUUCUCUCUGAAUUUCUGCAUCAUAAUACAUCGCCGCUGCAACCAAUUAAUUCAGCUUCUCGGACGAGUGUGCUUCGUAAUCCAGACAUGGAGAAGCUUUAGAAUGGUUACUUAUUCCCAGAGGAUUAGCAUGAGAUGUGAAGCACACCAGAAGAAGUACCCAGACGCCAAGGUCAUCAGUUUGGGCAUCGGUGACACGACCCAACCCAUACCAAGCAUCUUCACAUCUACCAUGACCGAGGCUUUGCCCUUUAGUAAUUUCCUUGUCGGUCUGCCCGUACAGGUAUCUAGGAUUAUUGAUGGUGACAUGGAUGAUUCCUGUGGUCUGGAGAAGGUUGCUUCCAGUCACUUGCCUGGCUAAAUGCCAAUGCAUGAGAUAGCAUUUGCGUCAAUUGAUAAGCCAGAGCUACUUAGUCAUGUAAACAAACUUAUAGGACAUGGUGAGCCAAGAUUAGUACAGUUCUUUACUGUUGAAAUUUGUAAGGGGAUUUAUGGAAGGUUUGUUUAUCUCUCCUCCCACUCCAAAUUUCAGUAUAACAUUUCUAGCACUGGCAUUUUUCCUCAAAAGUAUUUUUGCCUACUUUCAUGGUAAGCAUAUUGUAGAUAGUAUUCCAUUAUCACUGAUAUUUUCCAGUUAUAGAUGUACAUGUAAUUCUGUUUCUAUAGAAAUAUGGUUGCUGCGUAGCAUAUUUUCUUACUAGAAGGUACUUAUGUUCCCACUGAAUGCUUAUUUUUUUCACGAGCUCCAACACAUUUUCGUUGGAAAUUCUAUUGGAUGGGUAGAUAUCUUGCUAGAUUUUAAGAUUUAGGAGCCCAAGAGCAAUGUACUAUUUUCUCCAAUAUGGAAAUGAAGUAUGCUGUGGGGGGAGGAUGUACUACAAACUGAUCUAAAAUAAAGAAAGAGCAAUCUUUGGGUGACAAUGAGAUUCAUGGAGACUCAAUGCAGAUUGUCUUUCCUUCCCGUUUGUUUCUUAUUCUUGUCAUCUCAUGUAGUAUAUGCUUUUGUGCUGAAUUACAUGGAAGGUCGAGAUGACCGCACCUACAUAAAUGUUUUUUUGCUAUUUUUCUUAAUGUAUGGAUGCCUACUGACCCUAAGUAUAUUUGUUUAAAAUGUUUACCUAUGAAGUUCCUAUGCUAUAUAAGAAAGUUGGUCUGAACUAUUUGAGGUCAUGUUCUAUUUUACAGGUUACUCGUAUAGUUGCAUAGCUGAUUCAGUUAUAGUAGUCCAGAACAAGUGUUUGUAUCUAUCUUAACUUUCAGGUUACUUGUAUUGCAUAUUGAUUGAUUUUGUGCAUGCUCCUACGCUAGAUUUUUUUUUGAAGUGUAUGUUUUUUUAAACAAGAAUUGUACAUAAGUGCCCUUAAGGAUUAUAAGCAAGAUAAGUGCGCACCGGACCGCCUCAAAUGACG
rnacentral:rRNA from 1 species